rnacentral:lncRNA from 1 species
AAAAAUAGAAAGUAGAAAAUUAAAUUCAUUAGCUCCAAUUACUAAAUGAUUCAUCUGGCUGGCUAAUGAAGCUGAGCAUUAUGCUAACAAGAUAAAGGCAAGAAUAACAUGUGGGGAUGUGCGGCUGCAGGCACGCUGGGCCUGUUCUACUGGAAACGCAAGGCUGAGGAGCUCUGUGCCUUGAGAUGGAUGGCAAGAUACAAAAUCAAAAAGGUGUUUUAAUCCUGAGGAAGAGUGUGAGUCUGGGAAAAUUUUGGAUCACCGAGGUGCAGCCAUACCUUCCACAGCCAUCACUGUUGCUUACAACUCACAUGCCAAGAAUUGCAAGAUGAAGAUGGUGAUCAGGAGGCAUGACUUGUAACUACUUGGUUAGUGUAAAGCAGAGAGGAGAAUUAGGAGAGGCAGAUGGCAGAGAGGUCUGCCAUGGAAGAUUCAUGGAUGACAGGAGAGGCUGUGUUCCAGAAUGCAAGGAAGAAGAGCCCAAGGACCGUAGCAAGGCCCUGAUUCUGGGAGACAAGAGAACACGCUGACUUAGAAUGCUUGUCUCUGCAUCCUGGUCAGAAAGUAGAUAGACGACACUUUCAUCUCCGACUGGAUUUUGGUGAGAGAUGGGCAAACCCCCG